GCCCAGGGCGGCGAGGCCGUCGAGAGCUCGUUGCCRGGUUCAGUCGGCGUCCGUGCGCGGCGUCGGCGCAUUUCUGGUGCNGAGUGCGACCGUCAGCAGGGUCCGAGUUGCGCGCGCGUGUUUCUCGCGGCGGGGUAGGUGGUCGGAUACCUUCUCGGAGGUUCCGGCUCUUAGAGUCCGCGGCGGGUGUGCGUUGCUAACGGGCUGUGGAGCGUUCGGGCGUCGAGUCGCCCAAGUUGGUGGAGGUGCAGUCCUCGUCUUCGGGCGGGGAUCGGGCGCCGUCUUCCGGAGUGCCGCGUGCCAGCGUUCGAGUCCGCGAGUCGUUUCGGCGGCGAACGGAMGAUCACUGUGCCCGUCGGUGCUAUCGGGUGUCGGCGAUCCGUGCGACUGUGCCGAGUCUGUUGGCGUGUAGUCGUUGCCCUGUGC
rnacentral:rRNA from 1 species